AGCACGGGAGCAAUCCUGGUGGCGAGUGGCGAACGGGUGAGUAAUAUAUCGGAACGUGCCCAGUCGUGGGGGAUAACGCAGCGAAAGCUGUGCUAAUACCGCAUACGAUCUAUGGAUGAAAGCGGGGGAUCGCAAGACCUCGCACGAUUGGAGCGGCCGAUAUCAGAUUAGCUAGUUGGUGGGGUAAAGGCCCACCAAGGCGACGAUCUGUAGCUGGUCUGAGAGGACGACCAGCCACACUGGAACUGAGACACGGUCCAGACUCCUACGGGAGGCAGCAGUGGGGAAUUUUGGACAAUGGGCGCAAGCCUGAUCCAGCAAUGCCGCGUGUAGGACGAAGGCCUUCGGGUUGUAAACUGCUUUUGUACGGAACGAAAAGGUCUGCCCUAAUACGGCGGGCUCAUGACGGUACCGUAAGAAUAAGCACCGGCUAACUACGUGCCAGCAGCCGCGGUAAUACGUAGGGUGCAAGCGUUAAUCGGAAUUACUGGGCGUAAAGCGUGCGCAGGCGGUUUUGUAAGACAGAUGUGAAAUCCCCGGGCUCAACCUGGGACCUGCAUUUGUGACUGCAAAGCUAGAGUACGGCAGAGGGGGAUGGAAUUCCGCGUGUAGCAGUGAAAUGCGUAGAUAUGCGGAGGAACACCGAUGGCGAAGGCAAUCCCCUGGGCCUGUACUGACGCUCAUGCACGAAAGCGUGGGGAGCAAACAGGAUUAGAUACCCUGGUAGUCCACGCCCUAAACGAUGUCA
rnacentral:rRNA from 1 species